AUUGAACGCUGGCGGCAUGCUUUACACAUGCAAGUCGAACGGCAGCGCGGGCUUCGGCCUGGCGGCGAGUGGCGAACGGGUGAGUAAUGCAUCGGAACGUGCCCAGUAGUGGGGGAUAGCCCGGCGAAAGCCGGAUUAAUACCGCAUACGACCUGAGGGUGAAAGCGGGGGACCGAAAGGCCUCGCGCCAUUGGAGGGGCCGAUGUCGGAUUAGCUAGUUGGUGGGGUAAAGGCUUACCAAGGCGACGAUCCGUAGCUGGUCUGAGAGGACGACCAGCCACACUGGGACUGAGACACGGCCCAGACUCCUACGGGAGGCAGCAGUGGGGAAUUUUGGACAAUGGGGGCAACCCUGAUCCAGCCAUGCCGCGUGCGGGAAGAAGGCCUUCGGGUUGUAAACCGCUUUUGUUCGGGAAGAAAUCCUCUGGGCUAAUACCCCGGGGGGAUGACGGUACCGGAAGAAUAAGCACCGGCUAACUACGUG
rnacentral:rRNA from 1 species